rnacentral:rRNA from 1 species
CAUGAAGCUGGAAUUGCUAGUAAUGGCAGGUCAGCAUACUGCCGUGAAUACGUUCCCGGGCCUUGUACACACCGCCCGUCACACCAUGAGAGUUGGAAAUACCCGAAGCCUGUGAGCUAACUUAAAGAGGCAGCAGUCGAAGGUAGUGCCAAUGAUUGGGGUGAAGUCGUAACAAGGUAAC